UUAGAUACCCUGGUAGUCCACGCCGUAAACGAUGUCGACUUGGAGGUUGUGCCCUUGAGGCGUGGCUUCCGGAGCUAACGCGUUAAGUCGACCGCCUGGGGAGUACGGCCGCAAGGUUAAAACUCAAAUGAAUUGACGGGGGCCCGCACAAGCGGUGGAGCAUGUGGUUUAAUUCGAUGCAACGCGAAGAACCUUACCUACUCUUGACAUCCAGAGAACUUAGCAGAGAUGCUUUGGUGCCUUCGGGAACUCUGAGACAGGUGCUGCAUGGCUGUCGUCAGCUCGUGUUGUGAAAUGUUGGGUUAAGUCCCGCAACGAGCGCAACCCUUAUCCUUUGUUGCCAGCGGUUAGGCCGGGAACUCAAAGGAGACUGCCAGUGAUAAACUGGAGGAAGGUGGGGAUGACGUCAAGUCAUCAUGGCCCUUACGAGUAGGGCUACACACGUGCUACAAUGGCAUAUACAAAGAGAAGCGACCUCGCGAGAGCAAGCGGACCUCAUAAAGUAUGUCGUAGUCCGGAUUGGAGUCUGCAACUCGACUCCAUGAAGUCGGAAUCGCUAGUAAUCGUGGAUCAGAAUGCCACGGUGAAUACGUUCCCGGGCCUUGUACACACCGCCCGUCACACCAUGGGAGUGGGUUGCAAAAGAAGUAGGUAGCUUAACCUUCGGGAGGGCGCUUACCACUUUGUGAUUCAUGACUGGGGUGAAGUCGUAACAAGGUAACCGUAGGGGAACCUGCGGUUGGA
rnacentral:rRNA from 1 species